GAAAUGCGAUAAGUAGUAUAAAUUACAGAAUUUAGUAAAUUAUCAAAUCUUUAAACGCACAUUACGCCCCUCGGUAUUCCGUGGGGCAUGCCUGUUCAAGCGUCAUCUACACCCUCAAGCUCUGCUUAGUGUUGGGCGUCUGUCCCGCCUUCGCGCGUGGACUCGCCCUAAAUGCAUUGGCAGCGGUCCUUGCCCCCUCCCGCGCAGCACAUUGCGCUUCUUAAGGCUGCGGCGGCCCGCGUCUAAUAAGCUGAACCCCCCCAUCUUUGACCUCAGAUCAGGUAGGGAUACCCGCAGAACUCAAGC
rnacentral:misc_RNA from 1 species